AAAAUGCGAUAAGUAAUGUGAAUUGCAGAAUUCAGUGAAUCAUCGAAUCUUUGAACGCACAUGGCGCCCGCCAGUAUUCUGGCGGGCAUGCCUGUUCGAGCGUCAUUUCAACCCUCAAGCCCCCGGGUUUGGUGUUGGGGAUCGGGCUGCGGUUCUGCCGCGGCCCGGCCCCGAAAUCUAGUGGCGGUCUCGCUGCAGCCUCCAUUGCGUAGUAGCUAACACCUCGCAACUGGAACGCAGCGCGGCCAAGCCGUUAAACCCCCAACUUCUGAAUGUUGACCUCGGAUCAGGUAGGAAUACCCGCUGAACUUAAGC
rnacentral:misc_RNA from 1 species